rnacentral:rRNA from 1 species
UACGAAGGGUGCUAGCGUUGUUCGGAAUUACUGGGCGUAAAGCGCGCGUAGGCUGUUUAUCAAGUCAGAGGUGAAAGCCCUGGGCUCAACCCAGGAACUGCCUUUGAAACUGAUAGACUUGAGUGUCGGAGGGGAUAGCGGAAUUCCUAAUGUAGAGGUGAAAUUCGUAGAUAUUAGGAGGAACACCGGUGGCGAAGGCGGCUAUCUGGACGACAACUGACGCUGAGGCGCGAAAGCGUGGGGAUCAAACAGG